GUGGUUCAACUGAUUUGAAGAGCUUGCUCAGAUAUGACGAUGGACAUUGCAAAGAGUGGCGAACGGGUGAGUAACACGUGGGAAACCUACCUCUUAGCAGGGGAUAACAUUUGGAAACAGAUGCUAAUACCGUAUAACAAUGACAACCGCAUGGUUGUUAUUUAAAAGAUGGUUCUGCUAUCACUAAGAGAUGGUCCCGCGGUGCAUUAGCUAGUUGGUAAGGUAAUGGCUUACCAAGGCGAUGAUGCAUAGCCGAGUUGAGAGACUGAUCGGCCACAAUGGGACUGAGACACGGCCCAUACUCCUACGGGAGGCAGCAGUAGGGAAUCUUCCACAAUGGGCGAAAGCCUGAUGGAGCAACGCCGCGUGUGUGAUGAAGGGUUUCGGCUCGUAAAACACUGUUGUAAGAGAAGAAUGACAUUGAGAGUAACUGUUCAAUGUGUGACGGUAUCUUACCAGAAAGGAACGGCUAAAUACGUGCCAGCAGCCGCGGUAAUACGUAUGUUCCAAGCGUUAUCCGGAUUUAUUGGGCGUAAAGCGAGCGCAGACGGUUAUUUAAGUCUGAAGUGAAAGCCCUCAGCUCAACUGAGGAAUUGCUUUGGAAACUGGAUGACUUGAGUGCAGUAGAGGAAAGUGGAACUCCAUGUGUAGCGGUGAAAUGCGUAGAUAUAUGGAAGAACACCAGUGGCGAAGGCGGCUUUCUGGACUGUAACUGACGUUGAGGCUCGAAAGUGUGGGUAGCAAACAGGAUUAGAUACCCUGGUAGUCCACACCGUAAACGAUGAGUGCUAGGUGUUUGAGGGUUUCCGCUCUUAAGUGCCGCAGCUAACGC
rnacentral:rRNA from 1 species